rnacentral:rRNA from 1 species
UGGGGAAUUUUGGACGAAUUGGGCGAAAGCCUGAAUCCAGCAAUGCCGCGUGUGUGAAGAAGGCCUUCGGGUUGUAAAGCACUUUUGUCCAGAAAGAAAUCCUUGGCUCUAAUACAGUCGGGGAGUGACGGUACCGGAAGAAUAAGCACCGGCUAACUACGUGCCAGCAGCCGCGGUAAUACGUAGGGUGCAAGCGUUAAUCGGAAUUACUGGGCGUAAAGCGUGCGCAGGCGGUUUGCUAAGACCGAUGUGAAAUCCCCGGGCUCAACCUGGGAACUGCAUUGGUGACCGGCAGGCUAGAGUAUGGCAGAGGGGGGUGAGAAUUCCACUGUAGCAGGUGAAUGCGUAGAGAAUGUGGAGGAAUACCG